rnacentral:piRNA from 1 species
UGUCCUCACUUGCAACAGGGACUUCUGGUC